rnacentral:lncRNA from 1 species
UCGGGAGAGGCAGGCGACACGCAGGGCUCGCGAGGGAGAGCACGGGGGGAGAGGCAACGGGGGGAGAUGGGAUUGGCUGAGGGAGGAGACGAGAGGGGGUUGUCGCUAGGGUUGGCGGGAGGAGGCUUGGGCCUUGGGCAGGCCUCCUCUCUCCCUCAAACUUGUUUUUAAAAAAAAAUCAGAAAAACUCAAACAAAAGAAAAGGUAUUAACAAAAUAAAAAAAA